rnacentral:snoRNA from 13 species
CUUCCUCAGCCUUACUCCAGGGGCUUUCUUGCUCAUAGAGUGCCCUGGCAUUGCCUGAGGAUAAAUCAAAAAGCCCAUAUCCCUCCCCAGUAGGAGCCUGAUUUUCCUUUGGGGCCUACAGUUUGGGCUGACACA